CGCAGGCGGUGACUUAAGUGAGGUGUGAAAGCCCCGGGCUUAACCUGGGAAUUGCAUUUCAUACUGGGUCGCUAGAGUACUUUAGGGAGGGGUAGAAUUCCACGUGUAGCGGUGAAAUGCGUAGAGAUGUGGAGGAAUACCGAAGGCGAAGGCAGCCCCUUGGGAAUGUACUGACGCUCAUGUGCGAAAGCGUGGGGAGCAAACAGGAUUAGAUACCCUGGUAGUCCACGCUGUAAACGAUGUCGAUUUGGGGGUUGAGCUUUAAGUUUGGCGCCCGUAGCUAACGUGAUAAAUCGACCGCCUGGGGAGUACGGCCGCAAGGUUAAAACUCAAAUGAAUUGACGGGGGCCCGCACAAGCGGUGGAGCAUGUGGUUUAAUUCGAUGCAACGCGAAGAACCUUACCUACUCUUGACAUCCAGAGAACUUUCCAGAGAUGGAUUGGUGCCUUCGGGAACUCUGAGACAGGUGCUGCAUGGCUGUCGUCAGCUCGUGUCGUGAGAAG
rnacentral:rRNA from 1 species